CUGCCCGCCAUCUUGGUUUAGGGCAUUAAGAAGGAUUCGACCCUAUUGACGCUCAAAGUUUGAAGGGCCGUUUGGGAGUCGGACACGAUGUUUUCCAAGGAGCCUGGUGUCUGCGACGGGUUAGGGCAGGCCCCGACUGCCUCUGAGGCCAUGAUCGGCCAUCUUGGCUGCUGUCAAUAGAGCCGCUUGCUGGUUGCAUUGAUCGAGUCGGUGUGAGUAGGUCGGUUCUGUUCAGGUGCCUGAUGAGAGAGGAAGAUAGAAGCCUUCAUUGCUGAACUUUUCCAUCCUCUGUUGGAAGGAGGAAGGGACCAGUAGGCUUGCACUCUGCCAGAAUCACUCUUCAACAAGAUGGCCGCCCUAGGAGAAGGUUCAGAAAUGCCGGCUGGAAUUGAAAGUUUAUUUGAAAACUCCUGUCUUCAGUUUAUUUAUGCAUAGCAUUCAGGAACCUCUGUUAUGAGGAGAUGACUGCAUUGUUCAGCUAUAUUUGAGCACAGCAUCCAGGAUCCAGCACAUCAGAAAAGUAACUGCUUUACCUCCGCCAUUCUCAGAGCUGUGGCAGUGACUUCUGGAAGUGCAGCAGCUCUUGAAGAGGUCCAGAAUGCACAGCAUGUAGACUUUUGCUUCUGUGACAAUAGACACAAACCUUCCAUCCUGGUCUGAUUUGAUGAGAUUGAGAUUCAUUCUAUGCGUCUGUCAUUCCUUCAUUGACUGAAGUAUUGCAACGUACACAUGCACACCCUCUGAAAGAGAGUUCUUCUUGAAAUAAGAAGAUGAUUGCGCUCAAUGCAAGAGUUAUGUCCUGAGUGUUCCCCAUGCAAAUUGAAGCAGCAAGCUUGUUGGAAGGGAGAUAGAGGAAGACGAUGAAGAGCACUGCUCUGCUGUGAUAUCCACUAAAGGAGGUGAAACCACUCUGCAGCUGCCAUGCCAACACUUAAACUCUGUGUACUGCAAGCCACCAUCACGUCAGAGAAGAUGCACCAGGCACAAGACCUAGAGUACAUCGGAUCCAAAGAGAGUAAGCUGGGAGUAUAAAGCAGAAUGGAACCAAAUUCAUCCACUGCAGUUGACGGUUACACUAGGGUCUGAAUUUGGCCCAGUGCAUUUAACCACCUUCACCAUGUUCCUGUGAUACAGCUUUUAAAUAUUUUAUAGGAUUUGGAUCUUGUGUGAUUUUUAAGCUUGUAGAUUUUGAGAUGCCUGGAAUGCUGUGGCAGGCGGCCCAAUGAUCCUGUUUCCCCCCCCCCCAACCUUUAACCCUUCCAUUAUUAUUGAAGCCCUAUACUACAGCGAUCUCCCUUUAGGCAGGGGGUGGGGCACUGGAUGGGACAAUCUUUGGAAGCUACAAGUGCCGUUCCUUCAUUUAAUUAGAGCCACUUCCAGAAUCUACACUCCUAGGGGCUUGAUCCUGCAAGUACCACAGUAUCUCCUGGAGAUACCGAAUGCAGUCAACCCAUUAAAGUCCAUUUGAGUUGAGGGCACCCUGCAGAUUGGAGGAUUGGCAUCUAAAGAGAAAGGGUAUGAUCUCUUUGGCAACAGGAGCUGGAUUAGACCCUAAAACCUGGACUGGGAGUCAAAUCCUGGAGAUAAAUCAGUAGCUGGGCGUCCAGAUGAUUUGGAGGAUUCCUGGAAGAGGUGAAAACCUAAGUCACAGUGUUCAAAUCUGACCUAGCAAUGACUGAAACUUGGUACUUUCUGACAGCUACUCAGUAAGGCUCACAGGCUGGGAAGUGAAUGGGGAAUGCUUGCUGUAACUUUAGUGUGAAUAAAGGACUUCAGUCUCCUGAUCUGACAUCUCCUGGGAACACUCAAACUUGAUAAAAAUGAAAUGAAGUAC